AAGGCCUCAUUGAGAAGGUGCCGUUUGUGCACGACCUGAGGGUGGUGAAGGAGGAAGCCAUGUGAAUAUCUAGGGGAAAGGUAUCCCAAGAAGAGAACUGCAAGUGCAGAGGUCCUGAGGCAGGUGCUUGCCAAGUAUGCUUAGAAAGCAGCAAUGAAGGCCACGUGCCUGUGGUAGAGUGAGCAAAGAGGAGAGCAGUAGGAGAUGAAGUCAGGGAGGUAAGGAAGUGCCGGAUCAUGAAGAGCGUUAACAAUUGAUUUGUCAUUGAUGGAGAAGAAGCUGAUUUGAUGAGAAAAUAUCAAGGGCCCAACAUAAGACACGUUUUAGAGAUGUCUGGGAGUCAGUUUAUCUGAGGCUGAAAUUCAACAGAGGUCCAAGUUGGAGAUGUACAUCUAGGCUCUAUAUAGCCAAAUUAUGGACAUGGUUGUGGUGUACAUAAAUAAUUCUAAGGACAGAGCCCGAGGGAGGACUCCAGCAUUUUAUUGUGACCCACAUAGGCCAACUUGGCCUCAAAGACAACUGACUUACCCAUUCACUAGCAACUGUAUGCACAAGGCUAAAUUCUAGAUUCAUCCAAUUACUUUAAAAGGCCCCGUGGGAAUAUACUCAACAACACUGUGUGUUUAUUACAGAGGAUGCUGUGACAUGUGGUUAUUCCUUGAGGAGCAGUGUUUUGUCUAUUUCAUCUGCUCUGGAUAUCUUCCAGUACUGGCAUAUCUUAGGACUGAGCACAGUUUUUCUCUGGAUGGCUUCUAUUCCAUCUAUUUUCCAUUCCUUCAGAGGUUACAAAUAAAGACACUGAUUUCCUUACUCAUAAAAUGAGAGUUUAAUGGCUACGUCACAAGAUAACUGUGAUGACCAUUUCAAAGGAAAUAAAGAAAGCAUUUAGUGCAGCAUGUGGGGGCAUAGUGUAACAUCCAUAAAUGUUCAUUUGCUUAUUUCUUUUUCCAGAUAUGGUCUUGAAGACAUCUUAAAAAAUCCGUUGGACCAGAGUAUAAAGUCAGAAUUUUUCCUUUCUACAGUCGGAAGUGUGAAUAUGAAUGCCUGAUCCUAACCCAAGCAUGGCCGGCUACAAUAAGAACAGGU
rnacentral:lncRNA from 10 species